rnacentral:rRNA from 1 species
UACGUAGGGACCAAGCGUUGUUCGGAUUUACUGGGCGUAAAGGGCGCGUAGGCGGCAAUUCAAGUCAGCUGUGAAAUCUCUGGGCUUAACCCAGAACGGCCAGCUGAUACUGUCGUGCUAGAGUGCGGAAGGGGCUACUGGAAUUCUCGGUGUAGCGGUGAAAUGCGUAGAUAUCGAGAGGAACACCUGCGGCGAAGGCGGGUAGCUGGGCCGACACUGACGCUGAGGCGCAAAGCCAGGGGAGCGAACGGG